AAUUAUAUAGUCUAACUAGGAUUUUAAAUUGCAAGUUUAAAGGUAUAUUAUAUAUUAUAUUAUAAUUU
rnacentral:tRNA from 1 species